UGGUCAACCCUUGACUUCUAUUUCCCUCCAAAUGAAGUCUACGUGGCAUUAAUUACCCAAACACCCAUUAAUUUCACUCUCUCUUUGCCUCUCCCAGUCUCUCUCAUCCCUCUUUGAAUUUUCCUAUUAAGGCAAUUCAUGUAAACACGUUUUAACCACAAAAUUGCUCAGAGUCAUUAAAUUGCGCAUGCAAUUGGAGUGUUCCGGAGAUUAUUGGAGCGAUUGUUGGUGAGCAAAAGCAAAGUUGGUAUUUAAAGAAGUUCGAGCCGAAAUUAUGGUACUGAGGUAAGUCUUUGUUACUUUAAUUUGGGAUUUGUUGGUGGGAUUGUAGUGGGAUUAUGCUUAAGGACCAAUUGAAGUGCGAUAUUGCUUAAAGAUUGAUUUUUUUUUUUGUUAAAUUUGUGUAGUUAGAUGAAGUACUUGUUGUUAUUGUUGUUUUUGUUUGUAAUUUUAGCCUAAAAUUUGAGUAAUUUAGGGCUGAUAGCUAUGUUUUAUGUUGAUUUUAAUAAUUUGAAUCAUAUUGAUAUAGUUGGUUGAUGUGUGUUUUUGUUGGAAGUGAAAAGUGAAGUGUGUAUUUGUAUAUGCUUAGGUAAUUAUGUCUGCGGUUUUUUGUACGGUUAGUAUAAAAGUUUGGCAUGGUGGUUCCUUCAAGCAUGUUAACAAUGGGGAAAUGGUAGGGGUGGGAGGGUGAUCUUAGGAGGCCAAGGUGCAAGAGGUGUAACCCAAGCAGCUGCUAGAAAAGGUGUGUUUCUUAGCCAACCUACUGCAUCAGGUCAAGGAACACAGAGAACAAAAGGGAGAGGAACUGGACGAGGCAAUGGCAGAGGCAGGACUAAGGUCCCAAUAGGAGUUGGAGUGUUGUUUAGUUCAGAUGGGACACCACUUUCACAGGGGGCUAACACUAGAGGAGGGGAUAGAAGAAAGGGAAGAGGUCGUGGAAGAGGAUCACAGUCCACCCAAUAACUGCAAUCUGACCUUCACUUGUGCCUUUUGUUUAUGAACUUUGUGAACAAAAUCUAAGACCUUUAUUUAGUUUAAUGCCUUGCCAGCAUUUUGUCUGUAAUGAAGUACUAACCACUAUGCUUAUUUUGCAUGAACAAUUAUCAUUUUGUUUCACAAAGUACUGGUGGAUGUACUAAACUGAAGUUGUUUUGCAAUGCAAUGUACACUUUAUGCUGUUAUGUUAUGCUCGCAAAA